rnacentral:rRNA from 1 species
GACGAACGCUGGCGGCGUGCCUAAUACAUGCCAGUUGAGCGCUGAAGGUUGGUACUUGUACCAACUGGAUGAGCAGCGAACGGGUGAGUAACGCGUGGGGAAUCUGCCUUUGAGCGGGGGACAACAUUUGGAAACGAAUGCUAAUACCGCAUAAAAACUUUAAACACAAGUUUUAAGUUUGAAAGAUGCAAUUGCAUCACUCAAAGAUGAUCCCGCGUUGUAUUAGCUAGUUGGUGAGGUAAAGGCUCACCAAGGCGAUGAUACAUAGCCGACCUGAGAGGGUGAUCGGCCACAUUGGGACUGUGACACGGCCCAAACUCCUACGGGAGGCAGCAGGAGGGAAGCUUCGGCAAUGGACGAAAGUCUGACCGAGCAACGCCGCGUGAGUGAAGAAGGUUUUCGGAUCGUAAAACUCUGUUGGUAGAGAAGAACGUUGGUGAGAGUGGAAAGCUCAUCAAGUGACGGUAACUACCCAGAAAGGGACGGCUAACUACGUG